rnacentral:misc_RNA from 1 species
AAAGGAUAUCACAGAAUUUUUUUCAAGAGAUAUAGUCUCGCGAGAGUGGGAUAAAUUCUCGUAAUUGGUCGUUGUUUCGUCAGGCGUUAUCUUGAGGGCUGGACCAGCCGGAACCAGAGAUGAAUUCUUGCAUGCCUUCCAUUGAAACACCCUGCCGGAAAUUACACUUUUUACUUUUCCCCACCUCUGCGAAAUUGAGUGGGUGCCUAGAGCCUGAUGAGAAGCAUCCGCAAGGAAAGCCAACGUGCAACGCGAACUCCGCCCGCUGAAUGUUUAAAUGCACGGCAGGACUUUAUCUCGGAAUUGUACCCAGCAAGGGAUGAAAUCUGCGGCUGCCGGCAGCCAACACCAGCCAGCCGGAAAUCUGCGUGAUUAAGUGCACCCUUCGUUGGACGAUAAUUGCUCUACAAAUACGCGAAAUUUAUUGCGAAUUCACCGCUAGACAGCGGGGACACGUCCCUUUUGCAACCUACCACGAAUUUCCUCGGGACGACUACAUCUGACGGUCAAGCUAAAUAAACGAUUAUCCUUUCUUCAUUUCACUUUACAGCCGAUAAACAGUACCUUGACCAUUUGUAAAUUCUCUUCAAGGAAAGACGUCGUAUCGCCCACGUUAUCGUGCAGGAAACAGUUAAAAAAAAGUUCUCCUAGUUCGAUACGGUAUAUUUUACGGAACACCACGAUUAUUGUUUUUGUGCGGUUUGUUCAAAUCUCUGCAGU